CAGCAGAACAAUGAGGCGGAAAUGGCUGCUGGUACAUCUGGUCAUCUCUGCAGAUAGCAAGGAGCAGACGGCCGAGUUUAUUAAACUCCACCGACACAGCGGUGACGCAUAUCGGAAGGCUAGACCGUCCAAUUUCACAGCCUCGCACUUCCCUUCUUCGAAGGACUCGGCUCACGUAGACUGAGGCUGGGUCCUCCAAAGGAUGCAGCCGACGUUUUGGGACACAGCUAUUAAGACGCUACAACACAGAGUGAACACCAUCCCCACUGACACAGCGGCCAGGGAUGCAGAAGAACAUCACAUCAAGAAGGCCCUGAGCAAAUGUGGUUAUCCCAGCUGGACUUUUGUCAAAGCUGGGAAGGCACCUAAAGAAAGCUCCAGCCGAUCCAGGAGAGAAGGACAACCGCUGCCCAAGCGAAAACCUGUAGUGAUCCCAUAUGUGUCAGGAGUAUCGGAACAGUUGAGACACAUUUUUUCUAAACACCGGGUCUCUGUGGCUUUUAAACCCCAAAACACGCUGCGCCAAAAACUGGUCCACCCCAAGGAUCGGGUCCCCCAACACAAACAGAGUAACAUAGUGUACGCUGUUAAGUGCCAGGAGGAUUGCCAGGAUUUAUACAUCGGGGAAACCAAACAUCCUCUGGCGAAGCGGAUGGCACAACACAGAAGAGCAACCUCAUCAGGCCAGGACUCUGCAGUCUAUUUACACCUACAGGCCAGUGGACACUCUUUCAAGGAUGAGGAUGUACACAUCCUGGACAGGGAGGGACGCUGGUUUGAGCGCGGAGUCAAGGAGGCCAUUUACGUGAAAAGGGAAAGACCAUCUCUGAAUCGAGGAGGGGGCCUAAGGGUACAUCUUUCGCCAUCUUACAAUGCUGUGAUUGCAGCCAUUCCCCAACUCUCUGUGAAUGGUACUCAUGGCCAUUGAUCAGUGUUCUUUGAUCAGUGGGUUUUGGUCAGUGAUUGUUGAUCAAUGGUCAUUGGAAUUUGCAUAAUUAUGAUUAAGGAACUGACCUCACAGCCCAUUGUUCCUUCAGUGGGCUGGUUUCAGUCAUUAUGCAAAUGUACUGUUUAUAAGGUUUGGGGAAACCUGCAGUCAGCUGAGACUGAAGAAGUCACUUGGAUGAGUGACGAAACGUUUCUCCCACAAAACGCUACGUCCAGAUGAACAGAUUCAACUUUUGGAGAUUUACUUUCCUGGAUGAUUGAGAAUGCAUCAAGACGUUUCAAAAGCUGCUGCUAGUCCCCUCUCCACCCUCCGCUCACAGAUGGCUGCUGUAAGAUUGCUCCUGUUUUUGCCUCUAGCAUCUAUUUCUGCAGCGCUACAGCUGGGUUUGCAGGCGAAGCUUGGAGAUGACGUCACUCUCCAUUGUCAGAUUACCACAGAUGAAAGGAUCUCAGUGCUGAAGUGGAGCAGAGCUGACCUGAACACAGACGGCUACGUCUACUUCUACAGGAACAAACGCUCCUAUGAAAACUACCAACAUUCAUCUUUUCAUGGCCGAGUGAAGCUGAGGGACCCGGAGAUGAAGGAUGGAGACGUUUCUCUGAUCCUGAAGAACGUCACGUUUAAUGACACUGGGAUGUAUGAGUGUCACGUAGCAGUGAGGAACCCUGGGAGAAGUAAAAGAGUUCACACUAAGAUCAGUCACUUCAUCAACCUCACAGUCACAGGUGAAACGCAUGAAAAUAUGCAUGAGAGACACAUCGUGGAAAGAGAAGAUGGAAGUGGAAACAUGUAUGACAUGCAACAGGCUGGAAAUCCGCCUGUCCUUAUGUUUGCUGGAGUUACUGCCAUCAUCAUCGUCAUCAUUGUUGUUCCUGCAUUUCUUUUGUUUGUGCUGCUCCUUAAAAUCAUAAGAAACAAAAAACUAGCUGUGCCUCCUAAUCAGGAAGCUACUGGUCUGAAAUGUUAAAGUUUCUUUUUUUUAAAGAAACUUCAAACGCUGAUAUUUACAUUCUUGCAAUAUCAAUUCCUUUUAGUACAUUUAUCAAGUAAUCAAAACUAAAAGAACCUCGCUGUUUCGGUUGAGCAAUUUGACAGUAUUUAGAGGGGGAAAAAAAUAGAAAAAGAAAAAAGCACUCAAGUUGUCUGCAGAGAAGACAAACACAACUUUGCCAGUUGUCUAGAUAACAUUAACCUUAAAAAAAAAAUCAAAAAAAAAAAAAUCCAGUUUUAAAUUUAAAACUGGAUUUUUUUAAAUGCUAAAAAUAGGUUUAGACAAAGUAAAGGAAAUGACUGAUUCUGGGUCAGAAGUCAUCACCAACGAUGAUCCAGACCUCAGGAUUAAAAAGGAACAGUUUUAAUGAUAAAAUGAUUACUGAAGAUGUGCCGCUGGCCUUGAAGCUGAAAAGAGUUAAACUCAGGAUACAUUUCAAGUUGCUGAGUUAAAUAGCAAAGAUUUUUUAUUAAUUAAAAAAACUGAGCUUUUAAAAAUGUGUAGUUUGAGUUUCUCCUUUUCCUCUUUAACUUCAUUUCCCACAGUGAGCAUCUGAGCUUCAGCCCUUUGCACUGUUUCCCCGCCUUCUUUGAACUUUCUGUUUCUGUUCUCGCACACGCUCUGCGUAAAUAAUUUGAUUGGGUGAGCAGCAUCGUGUGGGAUAACCUAUAAUGCACGCGAGUGAUCUGUGCCAUCUUCGGCCAGAUUAAAAUAUAUGGGAAUAAGAACUGUAUGUAUGAGAAAAGGUCCGCAGAGUGAUCGGUAAUAGAUCUGGGUGCAGAUCCAGUCCGUGGUUUGCAUAUUGGUGAUGUGGCAUUAGAUUGAAAAAAAAUACUCAGUGGCUAAACAUGAAUUCAAACCUCCACACAGGUUUAUGUUAAAGGUAAAAACAGAUUUGUUUGAAGGUUGAUGUGGGAUUAAAGGAGUUGUAUCAGCUCUGCAAGCAGAAAACUGAACAGAACCUUAGUCUCAACGUCCUCAUAUUAAUACAGGAAGUUACUGAACACAUGAGACAGAAGCAACAUGUUUUCAUUAUGCUCACCUCAAACAAGCCAACUGAUGAUGCUCAGGUAACAGCAGUGGACGGAAAAAGGCUGGAAUUUGUAUUUUUGGUGCUAUUUUUCUUGGAAUUGUGUGAAUUUUCUUAAUUUAAAUGUAUUAUUUAAUUAAUAAAUUUUUUCCUGUCCUUUCCGAAAGUGUAGCAUUCAGGAUUGCUGAAGGCUAAAAAUGCCCAAUGGUUUACAUUCCCAAGUGGACCAUUAUGGCAUUUGCUACAAUGGUCCACUUGAUAGUUAUAAUUUAUUAAAACUUUAUUAGGAUUUUUUUUUUAUUUUGAGUUAUUACAACCACAGCAGACAAGAACAGGGGACAGAAAAGAAAAAGAGAGAGCGAAAACCUUGAAAAUCUUCCUCAACACCUGAAAUGAAAACAUACAAAGAAAAUAAAGUUUUAAUUUCAGUGGCAGAUCUCACACACGCUGCUCACUGCUGUAAAACUGAAAAUGAGGUUUAGUGAUUAGAAAACUAAAAAGCUGGAGCCAUAAGGUUCUUUCCACAUUAAGAAACUGUGAUUAUGAAAGUUUCAUGCUGACUUGAGAAUUGCUACAACUGACAAACAAAGAAUAUCUUUACACAACACAGUAACCGACCUCUGACUAUAUAAAGAUCAUUUAGAGACAUUUCGCUUUUGUAUUGAAACCACAAAAUAUUAAUUAACAUUAAUUAACAAAAUAAAAAUUCUUUGAUUUGUAUUUAAUUUUGUGUUUCAUUUUAAAAUGUCAUUUUACUGAAAGUUCAUGAACUUCAUGAGCUCUGAAUCCACUCUGUGUCAGCUGCUUUAUGUUCACGCUGAGGUGACCUGUAAUGAUACAUACUCUGCACGAUUAAACUUUCUCCUGCACUCUCUCUGUUUAUCUGCAGUAACAGAAACAGAACAAAUCAUCUUUUUUUCCUCUUCCUCAGUUAAAAAAAAGACGUCUAGAUAGUGUGUGACAGAUUUUAUGUUGAUGAUGUUUGAAUAUUUGUGUCUUCGAUGAUGAUCCUAGUUGUCACUCAAGCUGCUCUGCUGCCACCUGGAGGCUUGAAAGUGUUAAAGCAUCAAUCUACAGCUCAGUGAAUGUGACAUCAGAAUAACCAGCACAGCCAAAGAAUCCUGAAUAAACUGAAGUGUUUGCAGUACAGCUGCAGUGCUGAUGGGUCGCACUUCACUUCCGCUCAAAGUGAGAGUCCAGAUUCAAGUUUGAACAAAACUUGCAAAGAAAAAGUUAAAGCUGUUGUGUUGAUAUUUGAAGUGCUUUGAUUAUUUUUGGAUAACAAGAGAACAUGCGCAUCAGCUAAGAAGGAAAAAAGUUCACAUUAACUGAGACUGAUGACUAACUAAACAUAAUUAGUUUUAUUUUUGAGCAGCUGAAAGUAGCUACAAGCUAUGUCCUCUUUCAAAGUUACAGCAAUCUACACACAGAUCUUCAGGUAUCUGUUACAAAUUGGUACGAAAGCUUUUGUACAAACAGUUCCGCUGCGUUUAUUACCUAGCCUUUUAUUGUUAAACAAGUCAACGGACUUGCUGUAGUAAGAAGUUACCUUUAUGAGAUUAUGCCUUUAUCCCAAUUCAGGGUCUGCAGCCUUGGAGCAUGUGGCCUUCGCGAUCUACGUGGGCCAUGUCCUCAAAGACCGAGAAGGCCGGAAGUGUGCUUGUGAAAUGGGACGGUCUAACCUCCAUCCCCAGGUUGCCUAGCAACCAUGAUACUAACAGCCGGAAACGUUUCAUACAUCAUUGUUUAACAGAAAUUAAGGAGAAAAUCUUUUGUUCAUUUGUUUGUUUGUUUGUUUUUACAUGAGCUCUGUGUGAUUUGAUAAGUAUCUGAGGCUGAGACCACAGGACUGUAAAACAUGAUAGUUGGGCUUCAUUUCUGUACUGAACAGUCAUUUUAAGAUUAGCUAGUAAAUAACAAUUAGCUAAUGUUGUUCAUGAGACUAAAGUCAUCUUACUUUGAUAAUGUAAAUAUAAUAUGGCCAAUAUUAUAGUUAUUAUAUUAAUCAUUAUUAGUUAUUACAGCAGUGAACAUGAACUCUGUGUCAAAUACUGAGCUUCAGUAAAGAUUCAAGUUGCAGUUAUUUAUAUGUACUAUCACCUUAAAUGUUCACUCAAAGACAAGUAUCUUUGACAGUGUAUAUACAGAUGUAUUAUAUAUAAGAGACAAACAUUGUUCUUUUAAUAUGUUGGCAUUACUAAAUUUGGCUUUGUUUUGCUUUUUUUAAUCAACAUAAAGUGAACUUUUUUAGUCAUGCACAGAGAGCCUGGUGUGGUUGCGGAUCUAAAUGCAGAAAGAGGAGAUGUUUUUACGCCUGAUGCGGUGAAAUUUUCCUUCAAACUUUGUUUGGUCAACUGUGGUUUGUUUAAAAAUGUUAAAUGUCAUGUUUUAAUGUCAGUUUCAUGCAUUAAAAAUGCUUUUGUUACGGUUUGGAGGAGGACUCAAGCGCAGGACUCCGAUUCUGAUGCUCACAGAAAGGGUUUAUUUACAAUGCACCAGGUGUAUAUACAAGAAUGUGCGGGGGGUGCUAUAUACAGCUGAGUGAGGGGAGAAGGGGUCUCCAGGGAAGUCCAGGGGAAAGCACGCGUUCUUCAGAGUAUCCACUCACACGAUCACAGGCUUACACGGGAAUCACACGGGGGGAAAAUCCAGGGAGCUCUGUAGACAGGGAGACAGGGUAAGUACGACGCACACAGGAAAACACUCUUAACUAACUUGCUGUAGCUUGGCUUCACUAACGCGUGGUAGACAACGAUCCAGCGACGAACAGCAGUCACCUCCUGGCUUAAAUGCUGACCAUCAUAAUGAGACCCAGGUGUCUCAUCUCCCGAGGGCGUGGGCCGAGGGCGUGAACCCACAGUGAGUUCCGCCCCGGCGAGAGAGAAGCGGAGAGAGAGAGGAAGAGAGCGAGAGGAACAGAGAGAGCUGAUCAGCGUGCAGCUGAUCCGCCUGGCCGUGACAGUACCCCCCCCCCGACGGGAGCCUCCCGGCGACUCCCAGGCUUGUCAGGGUGAGCCGCAUGGAACGCCCGCACCAUACCCCGAUCCAGAAGGGCCGUCCGCGGGAUCCAAGAACGCUCCUCCAUCCCGUAGCCCUCCCAAUCCACGAGAUACCGCAGACCGUGCCCCCGGCGCCGGACAUCCAUGAUCCAUGAAAUGGUGAAAGCCGGGUGGCCAUCAAUGACCCGGGCGGGUGGAGGGGGCCUGGAAGGAGGGCACAGAGGACUAGAGA
ensembl:lncRNA